GAGUGCGUAGUGUAACUGAAUAACACGUCAGUCUACGAAACUGAAGAGUCAAGGUUUGAGUCCUUGCGCGCUCA
rnacentral:tRNA from 1 species